GAGGCAGUAGAAUAAACAGACACACAAG
rnacentral:piRNA from 1 species